GACAUAAACGAAGCUUAUGUUACGGCCAUAAGAUGAGGGCAGCUUAGACUGUCGUAUGUUU
rnacentral:tRNA from 1 species